rnacentral:rRNA from 1 species
GACGAACGCUGGCGGCGUGCCUAAUACAUGCAAGUAGGACGCAGUUGCGAACGGGUGAGUAACGCGUAGGUAACUACCUAUUAGAGGGGGAUAACUAUUGGAAACGAUAGCUAAUACCGCAUACUAGUAGAUGGACCUGCGUUGUAUUAGCUAGUAGGUAGGGUAAUGGCCUACCUAGGCAACGAUACAUAGCCGAGCCUAGAGGGUGAGCUGCCACACUGGGACUUGGAAACAGCCCAGACGCCUAAGGGAGGCAGCAGUAGGGAAUCGUCGGCAAUGGGGGGAACCCUGACCGAGCAACGCAGCGUGAGUGAAGAAGGUUUUCUGAACGUAAAGCUCUGUUUUGAAGGAAGCGGUACUUAACCAGAAAGAGACGGCUAACUUCGUGCCAGCAGCCGCGGUAAUUC